UUUUAUUCAGCUCAGAGGUUCUGAAAGACCCCCUAAGAAGGGAGACCCUCACUGAAGUCUUGGGAUGAUACGACCACCCAAGAACUCAGGAGAGACA
rnacentral:pre_miRNA from 11 species